CCCUUAGAUGUUCUGGGCCGCACGCGCGCUACACUGAUGCAUUCAACGAGUCUAAAACCUGCUCUGAUAGGGGUGGGUAAUCUUUUGAAUGUGCAUCGUGAUUGGGAUAGAUGAUUGCAAUUUUUCAUCUUCAACGAGGAAUGCCUAGUAAACGCAAGUCAUCAGCUUGCAUUGAUUACGUCCCUGCCCUUUGUACACACCGCCCGUCGCUCCUACCGAUGGAACGAUCCGGUGAAAACUCUGGAUUGGAGGGUUUGGUUGUUGCUUUGCAACACUACCCUUCGAGAAAUUGUUUGAAUCUUAUCGUUUAGAGGAAGGAGAAGUCGUAACA
rnacentral:rRNA from 1 species